GAGUUUUGAUCCUGGCUCAGGAUGAACGCUAGCUACAGGCUUAACACAUGCAAGUCGAGGGGAAACGACAUCGAAAGCUUGCUUUUGAUGGGCGUCGACCGGCGCACGGGUGAGUAACGCGUAUCCAACCUGCCCACCACUUGGGGAUAACCUUGCGAAAGUAAGACUAAUACCCAAUGACGUCUCUAGAAGACAUCUGAAGGAGAUUAAAGAUUUAUCGGUGAUGGAUGGGGAUGCGUCUGAUUAGCUUGUUGGGCGGGGUAACGGCCCACCAAGGCGACGAUCAGUAGGGGUUCUGAGAGGAACGGUCCCCACAUUGGAACUGAGACACGGUCCAAACUCCUACGGGAGCA
rnacentral:rRNA from 1 species